GUAAUUUUUUCUUUAGAAAUCAAAAGUUCUCCGAAUCCCUGAAUUUCAAAUUUAAAUCAUUGUUCUUAUUGUUUUCGUUUCCGGCGAAGUUAAGCUCGGAAUCGUGGUGGAAGUAUUGCUCUUCUCGUCCAUCCCAGUUGUGCAGGACGGACCGUCGAUGCCACCGUUGGUUGCACCUGCAGAUUUUUCUGAAAAAAAUGAUUUUUGGUCUAUUUUUGCUACGGGGUGUUACAGUAACUGACUGCGUACUCCGG
rnacentral:misc_RNA from 1 species